rnacentral:rRNA from 1 species
CUGGCGGCGUGCCUAAUACAUGCAAGUCGAACGGUCUUUCUAUGGAAGCUUGCUCCACUGAGAAGAUAGUGGCGAACGGGUGAGUAACACGUGGGUAACCUGCCCAUAAGAGGGGGGAUAACAUCCGGAAACGGGUGCUAAUACCGCAUAGUUUUCUUGAUCGCAUGAUUGAGAAAGGAAAGACGGCCUUUGUGCUGUCGCUUAUGGAUGGACCCGCGGCGUAUUAGUUAGUUGGUGAGGUAACGGCUCACCAAGACGAUGAUACGUAGCCGACCUGAGAGGGUGAUCGGCCACAUUGGGACUGAGACACGGCCCAAACUCCUACGGGAGGCAGCAGUAGGGAAUCUUCCGCAAUGGACGAAAGUCUGACGGAGCAACGCCGCGUGAGUGAAAGAAGGUUUUCGGAUCGUAAAACUCUGUUGUCAGAGAAGAACAAGUUGGAGAGUAACUGCUCCAGCCUUGACGGUAUCUGACCAGAAAGCCACGGCUAACUACGUGCCAGCCGCGGC